rnacentral:rRNA from 1 species
AUUGAACGCUGGCGGCAGGCCUAACACAUGCAAGUCGAACGGUAGCACAGAGGAGCUUGCUCCUUGGGUGACGAGUGGCGGACGGGUGAGUAAUGUCUGGGAAACUGCCCGAUGGAGGGGGAUAACUACUGGAAACGGUAGCUAAUACCGCAUAACGUCGCAAGACCAAAGAGGGGGACCUUCGGGCCUCUUGCCAUCGGAUGUGCCCAGAUGGGAUUAGCUAGUAGGUGGGGUAACGGCUCACCUAGGCGACGAUCCCUAGCUGGUCUGAGAGGAUGACCAGCCACACUGGAACUGAGACACGGUCCAGACUCCUACGGGAGGCAGCAGUGGGGAAUAUUGCACAAUGGGCGCAAGCCUGAUGCAGCCAUGCCGCGUGUAUGAAGAAGGCCUUCGGGUUGUAAAGUACUUUCAGCGAGGAGGAAGGUGUUGUGGUUAAUAACCGCAGCAAUUGACGUUACUCGCAGAAGAAGCACCGGCUAACUCCGUGCCAGCCGCCGCCGUAA